UGGGGAAUUGUUCACAAUGGGCGCAAGCCUGAUGACGCAACGCCGCGUGGAGGAUGAAGGUCUUCGGAUCGUAAACUCCUGUUGCUCGGGACGAAAAGCUCCGACCUAAUACGUCGGAGUCUGACGGUACCGGGUGAGGAAGCCCCGGCUAACUCUGUGCCCGCAGCCGCGGUAAUACAGAGGGGGCAAGCGUUGUUCGGAAUUACUGGGCGUAAAGGGCGCGUAGGCGGCCUGUUAAGUAGAACGUGAAAUCCCCGGGCUCAACCCGGGAACUGCGUCCGAUACUGGCAGGCUUGAAUCCGGGAGAGGGAUGUGGAAUUCCAGGUGUAGCGGUGAAAUGCGUAGAUAUCUGGAGGAACACCGGUGGCGAAGGCGGCAUCCUGGACCGGUAUUGACGCUGAGGCGCGAAAGCCAGGGGAGCAAA
rnacentral:rRNA from 1 species